GAUGAACGCUGGCGGCGUGCUUAACACAUGCAAGUCGAACGGGAUCCCGGGGGUUCGCUCCCGGGUGAGAGUGGCGAACGGGUGAGUAAUGCGUGACCGACCUGCCCCAUACACCGGAAUAGCUCCUGGAAACGGGUGGUAAUGCCGGAUGCUCCGGUUGGAUGCAUGUCCUUCCGGGAAAGAUUCUAUCGGUAUGGGAUGGGGUCGCGUCCUAUCAGCUUGAUGGCGGGGUAACGGCCCACCAUGGCUUCGACGGGUAGCCGGCCUGAGAGGGCGACCGGCCACAUUGGGACUGAGAUACGGCCCAGACUCCUACGGGAGGCAGCAGUGGGGAAUAUUGCACAAUGGGCGCAAGCCUGAUGCAGCGACGCCGCGUGCGGGAUGGAGGCCUUCGGGUUGUAAACCGCUUUUGAUCGGGAGCAAGCCCUUCGGGGUGAGUUAC
rnacentral:rRNA from 1 species